rnacentral:rRNA from 1 species
UACGUAGGGGGCAAGCGUUGUCCGGAUUUACUGGGCGUAAAGAGCGUGUAGGCGGCCACGCAGGUCCGUUGUGAAAACUGGAGGCUCAACCUCCAGCUGUCGACGGAAACCGUGUGGCUAGAGUCCGGAAGAGGAGAGUGGAAUCCUGGUGUAGCGGUGAAAUGCGCAGAUAUCAGGAAGAACACCAAUGGCGAAGGCAGCUCUCUGGGACGGUACUGACGCUGAGACGCGAAAGCGUGGGGAGCGAACAGG